rnacentral:rRNA from 1 species
GAUGAACGCUGGCGGCGUGCCUAAUACAUGCAAGUCGAACGAGUUCUGGUUUAUGAUGGCGGUGCUUGCACCAAUAGAUUAAACAUUUGAACGAGUGGCGGACGGGUGAGUAACACGUGGGUAACCUGCCCUAAAGUGGGGGAUAACAUUUGGAAACAGAUGCUAAUACCGCAUAAACCUCAAAAGCACAUGCUUUUGAGUUGAAAGAUGGCGUAAGCUAUCGCUUUUGGAUGGACCCGCGGCGUAUUAGCUAGUUGGUGAGGUAAUGGCUCACCAAGGCAAUGAUACGUAGCCGACCUGAGAGGGUAAUCGGCCACAUUGGGACUGAGACACGGCCCAAACUCCUACGGGAGGCAGCAGUAGGGAAUCUUCCACAAUGGACGAAAGUCUGAUGGAGCAACGCCGCGUGAGUGAAGAAGGGUUUCGGCUCGUAAAACUCUGUUGUUAAAGAAGAACAGGUGUAAGAGUAACUGUUUACACCGUGACGGUAUUUAACCAGAAAGCCACGGCUAACUACGUGCCAGCCGCCGCGGUAAAAC